rnacentral:rRNA from 1 species
GAUCAUGGCUCAGGACGAACGCUGGCGGCACGCUUAAACACAUGCAAGUCGAACGAGAGAAGAGGAGCUUGUCUUUUCUGAUCUAGUGGCGGACGGGUGAGUAACACGUGAGCAAUCUGCCUUUCAGGAGGGGGAUACCGAUUGGAAACGAUCGUUAAUACCGCAUAACAUAAUUGAACCGCAUGAUUUGAUUAUCAAAGUAUUUAUCGCUGAAAGAUGAGCUCGCGU